rfam:Oryza barthii chromosome 5, whole genome shotgun sequence.
AUCCCAUGAUGAGGACAGGCAGCCACAUAUUUCUGAAGUCGUUCCCUCGCCUCAGGAAUGGACUCAUACCUCAUCUGCUGGAAACUUGAAAUCCUCCCGUGAAGGGC